CGCCUACUUGCAAGCUGGCCCCCCUCUCUCUGGCCCCUGUGCUCAGCUCGGCUUGGCUUGUUAGGAAUACCAUCCGGACAUCAAGAAACCCCCGGACGUCUGUCCGUGACAAGAAAUACGCGUUUUCUGCCCUUCCCGGCAUCGGCUGAGGCUGUACAUCCACUCGGACGGGUGAAGUUUUCUACAUCACCCGUGGCUGUUUUUUCUUGUGUUGGGGAUUGUUUUUCUGUGUGUUUACUAAAUAAACAAGUUUUUUCCACUU